rnacentral:rRNA from 1 species
GAUGAACGCUGGCGGCGUGCCUAAUACAUGCAAGUCGAGCGAACAGACGAGGAGCUUGCUCCUCUGACGUUAGCGGCGGAAGGGUGAGUAACACGUGGAUAACCUACCUAUAAGACUUGGAUAACUUCGGGAAACCGGAGCUAAUACCGGAUAAUAUAUUGAACCGCAUGGUUCAAUAGUGAAAGACGGUUUUGCUGUCACUUAUAGAUGGAUCCGCGCCGCAUUAGCUAGUUGGUAAGGUAACGGCUUACCAAGGCAACGAUGCGUAGCCGACCUGAGAGGGUGAUCGGCCACACUGGAACUGAGACACGGUCCAGACUCCUACGGGAGGCAGCAGUAGGGAAUCUUCCGCAAUGGGCGAAAGCCUGACGGAGCAACGCCGCGUGAGUGAUGAAGGUCUUCGGAUCGUAAAACUCUGUUAUUAGGGAAGAACAAAUGUGUAAGUAACUAUGCACGUCUUGACGGUACCUAAUCAGAAAGCCACGGCUAACUACGUG